GUAGGGGGCUAGCGUUAUCCGGAAUUACUGGGCGUAAAGGGUGCGUAGGUGGUUUCUUAAGUCAGAGGUGAAAGGCUACGGCUCAACCGUAGUAAGCCUUUGAAACUGGGAAACUUGAGUGCAGGAGAGGAGAGUGGAAUUCCUAGUGUAGCGGUGAAAUGCGUAGAUAUUAGGAGGAACACCAGUUGCGAAGGCGGCUCUCUGGACUGUAACUGACACUGAGGCACGAAAGCGUGGGGAGCAAACAGGAUUAGAUACCCUGGUAGUCCACGCCGUAAACGAUGGAUGCUAGGUGUGGGAGGUAUCGACCCCUUCCGUGCCGCAGUUAACGCAAUAAGCAUCCCGCCUGGGGAGU
rnacentral:rRNA from 1 species